AUUGAACGCUGGCGGCAGGCCUAACACAUGCAAGUCGCACGAGUGGCGGACGGGUGAGUAAUGUCUGGGAAACUGCCCUAUGGGGGGGGAUAACUACUGGAAACAGUAGCUAAUACAGCAUAACAUAGGAUGUGACCAGAUGGGAUUAGGUAGUAGGUGGGGUAACGGCUCACCUAGGCGACGAUCCCUAGCUGGUCUGAGAGGAUGACCAGCCACACUGGAACUGAGACACGGUCCAGACUCCUACGGGAGGCAGCAGUGGGGAAUAUUGCACAAUGGGCGCAAGCCUGAUGCAGCCAUGCCGCGUGUAUGAAGAAGGCCUUCGGGUUGUAAAGUACUUUCAGCGAGGAGGCGUUACUCGCAGAAGAAGCACCGGCUAACUCCGUGCCAGCAGCCGCGGUAAUAC
rnacentral:rRNA from 1 species